AAAUUCUUCCGAUGUAUUCGUUAUUAAGUGUUUCACUGUAUAUAAAUUGAUAUAAUGUUUUAAUAAAUUUAUUCCAAGGAUACUUUCAGGCCAGUCAUGCAAUCAAAUUCUACUCUUCACUACAGCUCCUACAGCAAGACAAUUUAUGUUUAUGUCAAAAACAAAAGUGAAGUAAUUUAAAAAAGUGUCAAAAUCUGACAGUGUAGAAAAUCUGUUUAAGAAAAGUAUGAUCUCAGAAGUCUCCUUAAAAAAUGUGGAACCCUGGCGAAUCAUUUACAAACUACCGCGCUUUAAUCUUUAGUUUAAGAUUAGAGGGAGAAAUUGACAAAAUAUAUUUUUCAGUGACCUGAAGAAAAACAAGUGGUUACUUGUAAUUACCAUCACUAGUUGCCAUGUACAAUUAAUUACAUUGUGGUUUAUAACAUACAGUGUUUCCCAAUAAACAUAAGAAUUGAGUGAUGACUUCAAUUUGAGAUGCCCAUGUGAAGCAUAAAGCUACAAUACGUGUUUCGUCAUUUAAGAUUUUUAAAAUGAAAGACAGAGCCAGACGAGCAUUGGUUGUUACACUAAUAGCUUUGAUUGUGUUGGUUUUAAUGUCCUACAGUAGUAUCGGUCUCAGCUACAAUGUUGCAGAAAGAUUUUUUGCUCAGAUGGAUGAAUAUAAAGUAGAUUCAUCAUGUCCCUGUAAACCUAGAAUAGCACGAUCUUUGAAAUAUCUUAAUGGGUCACUUAAACCUGAAGAUAUUAAUUUUGAAAAGGAAAC